rnacentral:rRNA from 1 species
UACAGAGGGUGCAAGCGUUGUUCGGAGUUACUGGGCGUAAAGGGUGCGUAGGCGGUCCUAUAAGUAUGGUGUGAAAUCUCCCGGCUUAACUGGGAGGGUGCGCUAUAGACUGUGGGACUAGAGUGUGGGAGAGGAAAGUGGAAUUCCUGGUGUAGCGGUGAAAUGCGUAGAUAUCAGGAGGAACACCGGUGGUGUAAACGGCUUUCUGGACCAUAACUGACGCUGAGGCACGAAAGCGUGGGUAGCAAACAGG